UCCAGACUCCUACGGGAGGCAGCAGUGGGGGAUAUUGCACAAUGGGGGAAACCCUGAUGCAGCGACGCCGCGUGGGUGAAGAAGCGCCUCGACGCGUAAAGCCCUGUCAGCAGGGAAGAAAAUGACGGUACCUGAAGAAGAAGCCCCGGCUAACUACGUGCCAGCAGCCGCGGUAAUACGUAGGGGGCGAGCGUUAUCCGGAUUCACUGGGUGUAAAGGGAGCGUAGACGGCCAAGCAAGCCAGGGGUGAAAGCCCGGGGCCCAACCCCGGGACUGCCCUUGGAACUGCAUGGCUGGAGUGCGGGAGGGGCAGGCGGAAUUCCUGGUGUAGCGGUGAAAUGCGUAGAUAUCAGGAGGAACACCGGCGGCGAAGGCGGCCUGCUGGACCGCGACUGACGUUGAGGCUCGAAAGCGUGGGGAGCAAACAGGAUUAGAUACCCCCGUA
rnacentral:rRNA from 1 species